CCCCUAGUAACUGCGAGUGAAGCGGGAAAAGCUCAAAUUUGAAAUCUGGCGGUUCUGCCGUCCGAGUUGUAUUCUGGAGAAGCGUUUUCUGUGCCGGACCGUGUACAAGUGCCUUGGAACAGGACGUCAUAGAGGGUGAGAAUCCCGUCUCUGACACGGACCCCCGGUGCUCUGUGAUGCGCUCUCGAAGAGUCGAGUUGUUUGGGAAUGCAGCUCAAAACGGGUGGUAAAUUCCAUCUAAAGCUAAAUAUUGGCGAGAGACCGAUAGCGAACAAGUACCGUGAGGGAAAGAUGAAAAGCACUUUGGAAAGAGAGUAAAACAGUACGUGAAAUUGUUGAAAGGGAAACGCUUGAAGUCAGUCGCGUCUGCCGGAACUCAGCCUUGCUUCUGCUUGGUGCACUUUCCGGUCCGACGGGCCAGCAUCGGUUUCGUGCGGCGGACACGGGUGGGAGGAAGGUGGCGGCCCUGGCCGCGUUAUAGCCUCCCAUCGCAAACGUCGCGCGGGACCGAGGAAUCCGGCGCAAGCCUGGGAUGCUGGCGUAAUGGCUUUAAACGACCCGUCUUGAAACACGGACCAAGGAGUGCUACGUGCUCGCGAGUGUUUGGGUGGAAAACCCAGGCGCGCAAUGAAAGUGAAAGUCGAUACCCCUUGCGGGGGCACCGACGCCCGAGCCCGAUGUUUUCGGACGGCCUUGCGGUAGAGCGAGUGCGUUGCGACCCGAAAGAUGGUGAACUAUUCCUGAGGAGGGCGAAGCCAGAGGAAACUCUGGUGGAGGCUCGUAGCGGUUCUGACGUGCAAAUCGAUCGCAGGACUUGGGUAUAGGGGCGAAAGACUAAUC
rnacentral:rRNA from 1 species